rnacentral:lncRNA from 1 species
CCAAACAAAAAGCAAAAGCAUCAGUGAGGUGAGCCAUGAUAAGCUUAUAGUGUUAAAAAAGCAGCUUGUUCCUCCUACAAAAGCCAGAUGUUUUUUUUUCGUGCCAUCUACUUUUAGAACAGCUACGGCCGAGUCAUAGAUGGAAAUAAACAGCGAACUUCCGUUCAUGAACACAUCUCAAGAAAAGUACAUGGGUCUCCUAAAAAAAUCACAGGGUCGGGGAAUGAUAAAGCUUUUCUGGCACUACCUCCUUGUCGCAGAAAAGAGCACUGGUGCCGGGCAAUGGGACGAUUGCGGGGAGCAGGGAGAAUUCACCGGAAAUGGCCUGACAGUGGCCAGGGUUGAGCUAGAAUUGUUUUGGCCAAGUGCAUAAUAUAAACAUGCACAUAACCCAUGCAGGCUUGCAUGCAAUUUUUUUGUUUGUGCUGGUGCAUUUUUCUUAGCCUAACAUGGUGCAUUUGCUAAGUUUAGGUCCUAAUCAGUACUAAUAAAAAUUCUUGGCCUGGGUGCCUGUGCACCGGGGCCCACUCUGAUUGGCCCCCGAUGGUGGCGGUGCCCAUGGCUACUCUCAUAAAAAGGAGUGCACAGUCUAUUAAGAAGAAAUGCCUUCUGAAAAGCAUAUCUAUUGCCAGUCAAGACCGUCCAUCGUUCGAAACCAGAAAGAUUUAAAACCUCAUGUUUUUUCUCUAUGGGUGGCAGCAGCUGCUCGAUAUCUGAGCAGAGACUGUGUGCCUUAGGAGGAUUCAAGCAUUCGAUGCUUAGCAAACUUAACUUAGAAAUUGCUCAUGUUUCCUGGAUGGCAACCGGCAAGCAUCAGUGAAAUCUCCAAUUGCGAAGGCCUCACAGACAGUAUAGUGUACAUCGAUCUUAUGUGUCUCUCUUUUUUUUUGUUAAACACUGAUUCGUCAAGAGAACAAAAAACGAUAUGAUGAAUAAUGACAACAGCAGAGAAGAUAUUUGUGUCCAAUUAUUACAACACAUGCUAGAUUAUUACAUGGAUAUGGGUGGAUUAAAAGAUCCAGAGAGGGAUGACAAAGCAAUGGAAGGAUCUGCAGAUGCAUCUGGUAUGAAGUUCCUCCAGCGUAACAACAGGUCAUCUCCAAGCUGUGAGCCAUGAGCAACCAACAUAAGCAAGGUAACCAGAAACAAAGAAAUUAGCCUAAAAUGACAAAUAUAUAAGCCUAAUUUCCAGUUUCCACACCGCUUAAUUUGUCGUCAAUCAUGUCGAGGGAAAUCGAAGGCGUACAGUAUCUCAAGGCUGGGAGCAGUGCGUGUAUUUAUAAGCUCGAUAAUGUGCUCCCCUGCAUCACCGAGCAUCUUGUGCGCCAUCUGCAGCCAGACAAAGGUGAGGAGCUCUCCUCCUCUGGCCAGCUGCGCUGCGUGCAUCUCUGGCCGGGACUUCCCGGCGGUGUACACAAUGAGCCUCACCCACAUAUCUCUUAUUUCCUCUAGCGCUUCUCUGCACGUCGACGUCAACAUGUCCUGAAUCGCCUCGCCGCUGAGGAAGGCCUCCUUAAAACUUCGCAGAACGGCAGCCUUGUCGCUGUAGUUUGAUCUUUCCUUAACAACCUUCCGCAUUGCUUCUAGUGCUAGUUCCGGAUUGCCGGCGGUGGCCUGCACCAUGGAAGCUGGGUGUGCAACUACCAGGUAGAACAUGUAGUUGGAUAGUUUUCGGCAGACACCAGCCAGAGCAACCAUGUCCUUAUCCAUGGUGCCAACGUGGCUCAUGUAUACCUCCGUGAAGAUAUGCAACCAGACUACGAAACCACUGAAAUCGGCGACGCCCUCCAUCAUGCGAUUCUUCAGGAACUGGCCGAGAUGAGGCCAGUGUUGCUGGCUUGCACUGCUCGAUCUAUCCAUGCCGCCAUAUGAUGUGAUCCACUUGGCAAUACAUUCUGUGAUCUCCUUAUCGACGGCCUCACACUUGGUAUCUAACAGCUUGCUGAUCCAAAGCACCUUGUCCUCGCCACCAGCUCCAAAUGCUCGUGCCACCUUCCUGAUCAGUCUCAUCACACAUCCUGGCAGGCUACUCGGCUUCUCCUCGCAUCCCAUGUAGCUCAGGAAGCUGUAUUGCCCCAUGCUGUUCGACCACAAUGGCCUCUCCUCUGGCCAUCCAAUAAUGUUGCUGGAUACAAGAGUCCACGAUAUGUUGGCGAGCCAACGGCAUUUCUGUUGGUCCUUCAACCAGGCCCAAGUCCAAGGUGACACCAUCACCAUCAUUAGCACAGAACAAACUUCCAGCAACAGGACUCCGGUAAAUAAUAUGUAGGUGAUUAAAAUGUCGACUCUGUUGUGCCGUCGCUUAUCGCUGGUACAGAAGAGCACAAGAGCAACUGUAGCCGAUACUUGAGAGAUGCAGCGGAGCACAGUGACGCUCCUUGUCCGCAGCACCGCAGCCUUGGUGUAGAGAUCAUGAUACAUGAUACCAAGUUCAACAUUAACCAGCUUGGCCAACUGUGCUUCAUUCAGUACGUGUCCUGCGAGAAAGAUUGCUUCGAAGCCUUGUAUCUGGUAUGGCUUAUGUCCAGCGAAUAGAUGUCGGAUGCUCGGUGAUGAAUCCAGGGCAAAACGAACAAUGCUAGAGUAGCUAGCAUCCUGAUUUAGGUUAGGCUUCUUUCCUCCUUCGCCUUUGAAGCCACUGAUGAUCCCGUACUUGAGAGCCAAUGUCCUCUCCGCAUACUUGAUGAUUCCAGCAACAAACAGAAAUACGCCUGGAACAAGAAGCUGCACAUUGCGCCAACCAGGUGACUUCCAAAAGACAUACAGGGCUAGGACCACUUGGAUUAUCAAAUUCAGCAAAUGCCUUAACCACAAGUUGUUGUCCUCGAUCGCAAAAGCAGUUAUGGUGUCCUGUCCACCAAGAUGAAUGAGGAGGAAAGGAGCCCAGAAGAAGGCCAGCGGAUGGUUUUCUGUUAGUGUGCCAGACUCUUGGGUGGUGUGCUCUUCAUUCUUUGAGAGAAAACCCAAGGCAUAAACUGCUACCAUGUCUGCCCCGAGGUAAGCUAUCCAGAUGGUGCCUCUAAGGAGCGCGUUGCUGCUACGCUGCCGAAGGUUGCCGCCAGUACCAAACAAGAACAUCUGUAGCAUAAAGCUAAGAAGCACAAGUUGUUGGAUCUCCCACUCAUUAAAUACUUCCAACAAGCUCUUCAUCAUUUGGAUUUUUAGUCACCGAACCCCUGGGGUGAAAAUAGUAAGUACAUUAGUGUGGCUUUCACGAAAUAUGAAAAUCGUAUUCGCAAGUAAUGAAGAGCCAUAUGCAUGGUUGUUGUAGUUCUUAAUAAAGAAAUAAAAAAAAUCAAUUAGCAUGCAGAACUAACCUAUAUCCCAAAGAUGCAAGCAUAACGCACUAAAACUUAAACUAUCAUAAGUUGUGGUAUAUGUCAACAUUCUAAACCUUACUUUACCGUGUAUCAUAUUUACAUGAAUAAAACACAGAAAGACUACUGAUUUUUUGUCAAAGUACAUGAGUUUAAUGAACAAAUAAUUGUUAUUCCAUCCGAUCCAUGUUAGUUGUUGUUGAUUUAGUACGAAGUUGUACUAAAUCGGCGACAAUUAAUAUGGAACGGUGGGAGUAAUAAAUAUUGUCAGUAACUUCAUAGUUGUUAUGAAUCUAUUUGCACAAAAUUCUACAUAUUUAUCUAAUAUCACAUAGAAAUGCACUGAUGACUCUAUAAUUGCCCAUCUGAGGCAGCUGAAGUUCUGAAAUUUAAAGCCACACAUGCUGUUCUAAUAUUACAUACGAAUAGCCGGUUGGCUCGAUACUUCUAUCUGCUAGAUGUGCAAAGCUCUUAGUUUUGUGCCUUAUAAAAAUUGAUUGCAUCAUGUAAUGCUUGGCCAUCUGAAAUGUGAUACAUACUUGUUUACUGAAUAAUUUUAACGGAAAUACGCAUACUCAGGCUUGGUCAUUCCUAAAUCCUGAAUCCUGCACGGCAGUAGGACUUAAGAGUGCGACAACAGAAAUGAGAAUAACUAAGCCAAGAUGAAUGAGCAUACCUUAGAACAGAUGCGUGGAUGCUUCUGCUACUUCAAGACAGAUGCUGCAAUAUUUAUUCCUCUCCUAUUAUGGCGUGUGGAAGAACCCCGUCAGCAUAAAUAAACUUAUAUAAGCCGAGAAGUGGCCAUAGGUCUCUGUUUCUUUCUUCAUAGAAGCAGCAGCCAGCAGAGGAGUAAACAAAGCACAAGAUCUGGAGUAAUGUCCCUUUGUACGUUACUUGCAAUAGGAGCAAAGGAUAAAGAACUAAAGGUGCGCCAAAGGGGAAAGAGCUAAACGUCUGCUUACUAAUGCCUGCUCACUUUAUUUUGGGCCAUGCAGUUUUAAUUACCAUUUAACCUUGGCUUAUUUAACAUAGGUAAUAACCAACUUGUUUCCAGCUGACAUAUUUCUUGCAGUAGCUGAGGAGUAAGAUGGAAGCACUAGACCCAGAGGUACUUGCCCUCGAAGCCUUCGUCCAAGAAGAUCAACCAGUGAAUUGAUACGCCACAGUCCUCCUUAGAUCACAUUUUUUGUAGGAUAUCCGAGAUGGUCGAUAGUCAUUCUUUAAGAGGGGGGUCAUUUACCCUAAAGGUAUGCAUCACUAUUUCCUGGACAUUCUGUUCGCCAUGUUUCUGUGGAUCAAUUGUCUCUGUUCAUUGAUUGUUGUCCAAAGUUUACUUCCAGAUUUGAUUGGAUUCAAUGCUACACAAACAGCAUGUUAUUUUGCUUUGUAUCGGACAAUUUGACUAGCAAUUAAGCACUAUUUGGAUGGUGGAAGGCAAGAAUUCUAUGUGGUGAUGUGCAUUAACUAAGCACCAAUGAUCAAUGUGCAUAUAUAAGUUGUCUCCUGAUGGAUUGGUUUUAUAAUGUUAAGUGGC